CCUACGGGCGGCAGCAGUGGGGAAUAUUGCACAAUGGGCGCAAGCCUGAUGCAGCCAUGCCGCGUGUGUGAAGAAGGCCUUCGGGUUGUAAAGCACUUUCAGCGGGGAGGAAGGCGUUAAGGUUAAUAACCUUGUCGAUUGACGUUACCCGCAGAAGAAGCACCGGCUAACUCCGUGCCAGCAGCCGCGGUAAUACGGAGGGUGCAAGCGUUAAUCGGAAUUACUGGGCGUAAAGCGCACGCAGGCGGUCUGUCAAGUCGGAUGUGAAAUCCCCGGGCUCAACCUGGGAACUGCAUUCGAAACUGGCAGGCUAGAGUCUUGUAGAGGGGGGUGGAAUUCCAGGUGUAGCGGUGAAAUGCGUAGAGAUCUGGAGGAAUACCGGUGGCGAAGGCGGCCCCCUGGACAAAGACUGACGCUCAGGUGCGAAAGCGUGGGGAGCAAACAGGAUUAGAUACCCGUGUAGUC
rnacentral:rRNA from 1 species